rnacentral:rRNA from 1 species
UACGUAGGGUGCGAGCGUUGUCCGGAAUUAUUGGGCGUAAAGAGCUCGUAGGCGGUGUGUUACGUCGGCCGUGAAAACCUGCAGCUUAACUGUGGGCGUGCGGUCGAUACGGGCAUCACUGGAGUUCGGCAGGGGAGACUGGAAUUCCAGGUGUAGCGGUGAAAUGCGUAGAUAUCUGGAGGAAUACCGGUGGCGAAGGCGGCAUCCUGGACCAUUACUGACGCUGAAUCGCGAAAGCUAGGGGAGCAAACGGG